rnacentral:tRNA from 1 species
GCGGCAGUAGCUCAGCUGGAUAGAGCAACGGCCUUCUAAGCCGUAGGUCGGGGGUUCGAGCCCCUCCUGCCGCAC